rnacentral:lncRNA from 1 species
UCGACUCCUGUGAGGUAUGGUGCUGGGUGCAGAUGCAGUGUGGCUCUGGAUAGCACCUUAUGGACAGUUGUGUCCCCAAGGAAGGAUGAGAAUAGCUACUGAAGUAAGUUGAAAAUUCCCUCUCAAAAAGGUUUAAAGCCAUUGGAUGUGCCACAAUGAUGACAGUUUAUUUGCUACUCUUGAGUGCUAGAAUGAUGAGGAUCUUAACCACCAUUAUCUUAACUGAGGCACCCAAAAUGGUGAGUUGGGGAACAUAGAGAGUACACCUAAGUUCACAUGAAGUUGUUUCUUCCCAGGUCCUAAAGAGCAAGCCUAACUCAAGCCAUUGGCACACAGGCAUUAGACAGAAAGCUGGAAGUUGAAAUGGUAAGUGAAACUGUAUCCAAGUAAGCAGGUAACUGGGCAAACUUCCUACGGCACAAAUGGCUUUUUAGUUACCUCCUAGUGCUGAAUGCAUUAAAUAAAUGGCGGAUUCUUGUCUUGUUAUGAUUAAUAAGAAAGUUUGUAAAUGCAGCCUGGAUGAUGAUAAGCAAAUGCUGACUGAACAUGAAGGUCUUAAUUAGCUCUAACUGACUAAAGGCAUUUGUUAGUUUUGGCAGGGGGUGAACACUCAUCUGUGGCUAUUCUAAGACCACUCUUAUUUCUUAGGUGGAGUCCAACUUGCCUGGACCAGCUUAAUGGUUCUGCUCCUGGUAACGUUUUUAUCCAUGGAUGACUUGCUUGGGUAUGGAGAGUCGGCUUGACUACACUGUGUGGAGCAAGUUUUAAAGAAGCAAAGGACUCAGAAUUCAUGAUUGAAGAAAUGCAGGUUAGUUUAAACUUUGAAGGAAAUUUUUAAGGUGGCAAAAGGUUUUGGUGGCAUAUACACCUUAAUCUGUAGAUGGGAGUGAUUAGCUGUUUAAAAGUUAAAAUGUGACUGAGAAGGAAAUUGAGUAGGGCAAAUUUUAAAUGGGUAUUAUUUUUCAUCUUCAAACAGGCAGACCUGUUAUCCUAAACUAGGUGAGUCAGCUUUUGGUACAUGUGAUGAUUUUCAGUGUAACCAAUGAUGUAAUGAUUCUGCCAAAUGAAAUAUAAUGAUAUCACUGUAAAACCGUUCCAUUUUGAUUCUGAGGUUACUCUACUAACAAGCAUCACACAUUUGUAUUUUGCCCUGAUUAAUAUGUUGGCUUCGCUUUCAGGGUUUUUAAUGACCACAACAAGCAAGCAUGCAGCUUACUGCUUGAAAGGGUCUUGCCUCACCCAAGCUAGAGUGCAGUGGCCUUUGAAGCUUACUACAGCCUCAAACUUCUGGGCUCAAGUGAUCCUCAGCCUCCCAGUGGUCUUUGUAGACUGCCUGAUGGAGUCUCAUGGCACAAGAAGAUUAAAACAGUGUCUCCAAUUUUAAUAAAUUUUUGCAAUC